rnacentral:tRNA from 8 species
GCCCCCUUAGCUCAGUUGGUCAGAGCUGCGGACUUUUAAUCCGAAGGUCGUGGGUUCGAGCCCCACAGGGGGUACCG